CUUCAGUUCCCUUUGGGUUCACAAACAGGCAUGUUUCACCAGCCGCUCAGGCUAUUUCAGAAGGAAAGUGUUGAUCAAGGAGAGACCACACCAAGGCUGAAGGAAGAUGACCUCCUCUCAUCUUCCUUGGAAGGAAGGAAAUCAUUCUGGGGAAGGCUUGGCUGGAUGUCGAAUUGCCAAUACUUCAAUCCGAACAUGAGAUGAGAAUGAUGGCUAUGCAAAUGAUGACCAGUUCAAUAAGUGAGGCCAUGGAGAGGUACAAGGAGCUCAUACAAGUGAACAGUUCCUACCGCAUCAGGCACUCCCAGCUUCUGCGUGAACAA
ensembl:lncRNA